rnacentral:rRNA from 1 species
UACUAGAGUAGCACUCGCAUAUCAAUAAGCGGAGGAAAAGAAACUAACAAGGAUUCCCCUAGUAACGGCGAGUGAAGCGGGAAGAGCUCAAAUUUGAAAUCUUAAAGGGUUUCCCUUUACGAAUUGUAGUUUAAAGAAGUGUUUUCUGUUGAGGUUCUGGUAAAAGUUCUUUGGAAUAGGACAUCAUAGAGGGUGAGAAUCCCGUAUUUGACCUUUACUUUCAACUUUGUGAUACACUUUCAAAGAGUCGGAUUGUUUGGGAAUGCAGUCCAAAAUGGGUGGUAAAUUUCAUCUAAAGCUAAAUAUUGGCGAGAGACCGAUAGCGAACAAGUACCGUGAGGGAAAGAUGAAAAGAACUUUGAAAAGAGAGUUAAACAGUACGUGAAAUUGUCAAAAGGGAAGCGUUUGACACCAGUGUUGUUUUUCUGAAAAUCAAUUAAAGAACUGUUUAUGCUAAGCUGUUUAGACUUUAUCAGCUAUCUGUUUAGUUUUGAGCUUUUCUUUAAUGCACUUUUCAGUUAACAAGUCAACAUCAAUUUCUUUUGCUGUAAAAAAGCUUGAGGAAGGUGGCUUGAGAUUCGUCUUAAGUGUUUAUAGCCUCUUGCCUAUGCAGUCGGAGAGAUUGAGGUCUGCAGCGUAGAUCCUUCGGGGCUAAAUGCAUUUGUGCUAAGUUAUAGCAUUUUAUAGACAACUUGUUGACUAUGAUUUGUCUUGUAGCUUACUCGCUUAUGUUAUUUUACCUACGCUUAGGAUGUUGAUCUACAGAGCGAGAGU